rnacentral:lncRNA from 1 species
CAGUGUCUCAAGUGUCACUCCUUCCCCAGCGAGGAGUGGGAGCACCUGUACCGUGAGAGUAUCUCUACGCCUUCCAGAUCCACUCACUCAGUCCCAGCGAUUCCCGUCUCCCGCCCUUCAAUCCCUCCUCUCCCAGCUCUGAACUACGAUUCCCAUUAUGCCCCGCGGUACGUCACGGACCCAAGCUUCCGGCGCCGCUCCGGCUUCCGGCUGGGAUCGGAACCUGGAGCCCGGAAUUCGAUCCGGGCGCGAGCAAAUUUUCCCCCACACAAGCAGGUAACACGCCGACACCCCUCGCCGCCCCGCCCCCUCCCGUCCCUCCGUCCCGCCGCGCGCGCCGCUCCCUCGCGGGCCUGGGAAAAAUACCCCCCCCCCCCGUUCGCCUCGGGGCUCCCGCAGUCCUCCUCGCGCGCCUGCUCCGCCCUCCCUCCCCUCCGUCCCGCGCGCCUCCUCCACGCCGCCUGUUCUUUGUCACAGGCGCCGCGCGCGGCGGAGCGAGGGAGGGAAGGAGGGAGGGGGCCGGGCGGCGCGGGUCCGAGGGAAAACCCGGCGGAGCCGCUCCCGGAUCGCCCCAACCGAGCGGACCUUCUUCUCCCUCGGACCGCGCCAAGACUGGGAGGGGGAGUGACAGGCCCCGGAGAGAGAGGGAGGGGGAGGGGGCCCACGCGGGGAUCGGCCUCUGAGGGCGCAGGGCCUCGGCCUCGUCUGGGAUUUGCCCCGUUUCUCGUCUCAGCCCUGCCCCCAAAUAACCAAGAGAGGAAAAGCAGGUGCUCUCCUUGGAAAGUGGCGUGGCUUUUUCGGGCUAAUGGCAGCCCCAGGGAUACAGUCACCUUACCCAGCAGGGAGAUCCAGUUCUCUCAGGGCCCUUCCACACAGCCCUAUAUCCCAGAAUAUCACGGCGGAAAAUCCCACAAUAUCUUCUUUGAAGUGGGAUGUUUGAGUCCACACAGUCAUAUAUACCAGUUCAAAGCAGAUACUGUGGGAUUUUAUUCAGCUGUGUGGAAGGCAUCUUCUUUUCAUAAUAAUAAUGAAAGGCAGGUGCUUCUCUUGAAAAGUGGCAAGUGGCUUUUCUGGACUCAUGGUAGCCCAAAGAAUAUGGUCACCUUCCCCAGGAAAGACGAGGCAGUUCUCUCAGGAACCUUCUUUUCAUAA